rnacentral:rRNA from 1 species
GACGGACCGUGCGAACGUUAUUCGGAAUCACUGGGCUUAAAGCGCGUGUAGGCGGGCCGGCACGUCGGUCGCUGAAAUCCCCCGGCUCAACCGGGGAAGGGGCGCCGAUACGACCGGCCUGGAGGGACGUAGGGGGGGCCGGAACUUCCGGUGGAGCGGUGAAAUGCGUUGAGAUCGGAAGGAACGCCCGUGGCGAAAGCGGGCCCCUGGACGUCUACUGACGCUGAGACGCGAAAGCCAGGGGAGCGAACGGG